AACGGCAGGAGGGCAAACCGAGGAGUUUACUCCUCGGGGUUGUAGGACUGCAAUGUGGACUUAAAGAGUAUAGAAGAACUACCUGGGAAGGUAGGCCAAAGAGAGUAAUAGCCUCGUAUUUGAAAUAGUCUUUAUACCUAGCAGUAUCCUGAGUACGGCGAGACACGCGAAAUCUCGUCGGAAUCUGGGAGGACCAUCUCCCAACCCUAAAUACUCUCUAGUGACCGAUAGUGAACCAGUACCGUGAGGGAAAGGUGAAAAGUACCCCGGAAGGGGAGUGAAAUAGAACCUGAAACCGUGUGCCUACAACAAGUUCGAGCCCGUUAAUG
rnacentral:rRNA from 1 species